AUUUCAUUUCUUGGAGCAGUGCGUCGCCAGAACUUGAAGAGGAGAAGAGCACGUCAGUGAAGACUGCAGUCCAGUGAGAAAGAUCCCAACAAGGGUUGCAACGCCAUUGACUUUGGUUUCAAGUCCUGUUUAUGUUAAUAUUGAUUUGUUGUUGCACUUCUACGUGUUUACCAUAGAAAUACAUGUGUGUAUGACAUAG